UGCUGCGUUGCAGGGAAUGGUUUCAGUUGUGUCCCGCUGUGCCGAGAGCCACUUCCAGCUGGCCUUGUCCUCGGUGAAGGAGUUCACGGGGACUUUGAAACACCAGAAGGUAAAGAGYCUGUGGUGGUGUUGUGGGGAGCUGCUGGGAGGUGCGUGGGGAGCUGCACCACCGGUCGGGCGCAGGGCAGCUCUCGCCUCGGGAGCAUGUGGAGUCCCGGGCACAGCGGGGCCGCAGGCUGACGUCUCGGUGCUUCUCCGGCGACCUCCCGGCAGAGCGACACGGUGAGGACCCGCGCUACUCGCGCUGCGCUGAUGGUGACAUACGGCCAGAUGGCGCUGCGCGCCCCCAGGGAGCAGCUGCUCGCCCACAUUGAGAGAGAUGUGGUGGGGAAUGUCCUGCAGCUCUACCGAGAGGGCUGCCAGGAUGCRCAACUGAAGCUCUCCCUGGCGCAGAGCGUCACUGAGAUCAGCCUUGCCAUCCAGGCUGCAGUCACCGGCCCCGGGUUCGAGCUCUGCUGCAAGCGGGAGCUGCUGCAGACCCUGCUGGUGAGUGCCCAGAGCUGGGACCGUUGCCCAGGGCAGCUGUGGGCUCUGCAUUUGUGCAGAAGUGCAAUGGUCUCCCGUGGCAUCGCACAAACUCCCACAGGCCCUGAGCCAUGUCCCAAACCGUUGGGGGACAUGGGUGCUGGCGCUCGGGGCUGUGGCGGGGAAGCGUGGUGCAUCCAGGCGCCAGGGAGCUGCCGCCUCGUCCCACGGGACCCUUGUGGGAGCCGUGGGGGUGGCRGGGCCGGUGCCUGCGGGGUCUGGCAGAAGAGCCUACGGCCAGGACGGGUGGCAGGGCUCUCCUGCGCCACUGCCCACUUUGCACGUGUCUGCCUGUGACUUGCAGGAGGUGAUUCAGGAGGAGCCCCAGGAGUCCCCGGUGCACCCCCGGGCCCUCGUGGCCAUGAAGCAGUUGAGGUAGGGUCUGUCCCYGGGCUGUGGGAGUCGCUGCGUGUCCCAGCCCAGCUGGCUGGUGUGGCUGGGGCUGCGGGUGUUGGAUUUGGGGCUGUCGAUGGGGACAAAGGCAGUCGUCCUCU
rnacentral:lncRNA from 1 species